AUUGAACGCUGGCGGCAUGCUUUACACAUGCAAGUCGAACGAGACCUUCGGGUCUAGUGGCGGACGGGUGAGUAACACGUGGGAACGUGCCUUUAGGUUCGGAAUAACUCAGGGAAACUUGUGCUAAUACCGAAUGUGCCCUUCGGGGGAAAGAUUUAUCGCCUUUAGAGCGGCCCGCGUCUGAUUAGCUAGUUGGUGAGGUAAUGGCUCACCAAGGCUACGAUCAGUAGCUGGUCUGAGAGGAUGAUCAGCCACAUUGGGACUGAGACACGGCCCAAACUCCUACGGGAGGCAGCAGUGGGGAAUCUUGCGCAAUGGGCGAAAGCCUGACGCAGCCAUGCCGCGUGUAUGAUGAAGGUCUUAGGAUUGUAAAAUACUUUCACCGGUGAAGAUAAUGACUGUAGCCGGAGAAGAAGCCCCGGCUAACUUCGUGCCAGCAGCCGCCGUAAAAC
rnacentral:rRNA from 1 species